rnacentral:pre_miRNA from 1 species
UGAGUGAUAGUCCUGAAUUUAUUUGCGAGCUGGACAAUGAAAAGAUCUAGCACCAUGUAAAUUCAGCAUUUGAGCUC